ACUCCUACGGGAGGCAGCAGUGGGGAAUAUUGCACAAUGGGGGAAACCCUGAUGCAGCCAUGCCGCGUGUGUGAAGAAGGCCUUCGGGUUGUAAAGCACUUUCAGUAGGGAGGAAGGUAGUGUAGUUAACACCUGCACUAUUUGACGUUACCUACAGAAGAAGCACCGGCUAACUCCGUGCCAGCAGCCGCGGUAAUACGGAGGGUGCGAGCGUUAAUCGGAAUUACUGGGCGUAAAGCGCAUGCAGGCGGCCUGUUAAGUCAGAUGUGAAAGCCCGGGGGCUUAACCUCGGAAUUGCAUUUGAAACUGGCAGGCUAGAGUCUUGUAGAGGGGGGUAGAAUUUCAGGUGUAGCGGUGAAAUGCGUAGAGAUCUGAAGGAAUA
rnacentral:rRNA from 1 species